GGUCAAGUGAAGAAGCGCAUACGGUGGAUGCCUUGGCAGUCAGAGGCGAUGAAAGACGUGGUAGCCUGCGAAAAGCUUCGGGGAGUCGGCAAACAGACUUUGAUCCGGAGAUCUCUGAAUGGGGGAACCCACCUAGGAUAACCUAGGUAUCUUGUACUGAAUCCAUAGGUGCAAGAGGCGAACCAGGGGAACUGAAACAUCUAAGUACCCUGAGGAAAAGAAAUCAACCGAGAUUCCCUUAGUAGUGGCGAGCGAACGGGGAUUAGCCCUUAAGCUUCAUUGAUUUUAGCGGAACGCUCUGGAAAGUGCGGCCAUAGUGGGUGAUAGCCCCGUACGCGAAAGGAUCUUUGAAGUGAAAUCGAGUAGGACGGAGCACGAGAAACUUUGUCUGAACAUGGGGGGACCAUCCUCCAAGGCUAAAUACUACUGACUGACCGAUAGUGAACCAGUACCGUGAGGGAAAGGCGAAAAGAACCCCGGAGAGGGGAGUGAAAUAGAACCUGAAACCGUAUGCGUACAAGCAGUGGGAGCCUACUUGUUAGGUGACUGCGUACCUUUUGUAUAAUGGGUCAGCGACUUAUAUUCAGUGGCAAGCUUAACCGUAUAGGGUAGGCGUAGCGAAAGCGAGUCUUAAUAGGGCGUUUAGUCGCUGGGUAUAGACCCGAAACCGGGCGAUCUAUCCAUGAGCAGGUUGAAGGUUAGGUAACACUGACUGGAGGACCGAACCCACUCCCGUUGAAAAGGUAGGGGAUGACUUGUGGAUCGGAGUGAAAGGCUAAUCAAGCUCGGAGAUAGCUGGUUCUCCUCGAAAGCUAUUUAGGUAGCGCCUCAUGUAUCACUCUGGGGGGUAGAGCACUGUUUCGGCUAGGGGGUCAUCCCGACUUACCAAACCGAUGCAAACUCCGAAUACCCAGAAGUGCCGAGCAUGGGAGACACACGGCGGGUGCUAACGUCCGUCGUGAAAAGGGAAACAACCCAGACCGCCAGCUAAGGUCCCAAAGUUGUGGUUAAGUGGUAAACGAUGUGGGAAGGCUUAGACAGCUAGGAGGUUGGCUUAGAAGCAGCCAUCCUUUAAAGAAAGCGUAAUAGCUCACUAGUCGAGUCGGCCUGCGCGGAAGAUGUAACGGGGCUCAAACCACACACCGAAGCUGCGGGUGUCACGUAAGUGACGCGGUAGAGGAGCGUUCUGUAAGCCUGUGAAGGUGAGUUGAGAAGCUUGCUGGAGGUAUCAGAAGUGCGAAUGCUGACAUGAGUAACGACAAUGGGUGUGAAAAACACCCACGCCGAAAGACCAAGGGUUCCUGCGCAACGUUAAUCGACGCAGGGUUAGUCGGUUCCUAAGGCGAGGCUGAAAAGCGUAGUCGAUGGGAAACAGGUUAAUAUUCCUGUACUUCUGGUUACUGCGAUGGAGGGACGGAGAAGGCUAGGCCAGCUUGGCGUUGGUUGUCCAAGUUUAAGGUGGUAGGCUGAAAUCUUAGGUAAAUCCGGGGUUUCAAGGCCGAGAGCUGAUGACGAGUCGUCUUUUAGAUGACGAAGUGGUUGAUGCCAUGCUUCCAAGAAAAGCUUCUAAGCUUCAGGUAACCAGGAACCGUACCCCAAACCGACACAGGUGGUCAGGUAGAGAAUACCAAGGCGCUUGAGAGAACUCGGGUGAAGGAACUAGGCAAAAUGGCACCGUAACUUCGGGAGAAGGUGCGCCGGCUAGGGUGAAGGAUUUACUCCGUAAGCUCUGGCUGGUCGAAGAUACCAGGCCGCUGCGACUGUUUAUUAAAAACACAGCACUCUGCAAACACGAAAGUGGACGUAUAGGGUGUGACGCCUGCCCGGUGCCGGAAGGUUAAUUGAUGGGGUUAGCGCAAGCGAAGCUCUUGAUCGAAGCCCCGGUAAACGGCGGCCGUAACUAUAACG
rnacentral:rRNA from 1 species